rnacentral:misc_RNA from 1 species
UCACAAUUGUCCCUGGGUCUGUCAUUUUCAUAUUGAUAAGGAAAAUGUGAAGACGAGAAGGCUGAAGCUGAGAUCAGUUUUAGAUGCUCUUAAUAUGAGAUAUAGAGCUGCAACAACGAAAGCCGGGAAUGAUCUUCCAAAUCUGCAUAUAACGUGCAAGGAUUGUUCAGUUGCUGAAGUGCAAAAAGAGAAAUCCGAAAUUUGCAUCACUGUUUCUGUGGUUGAGACCUCAAAAGAUCCUUCUUCACUGCUGGAUACGCUUCGUGAUGUGGUGAUUCCAUUCCUUCUUGAGACGGUGAUAAAAGGUUUCUCCGCAUUUAAAAAGGUUGAUAUCUUAUGGAAAGAGUUGCCAAGUCCAUCAAAAUCUUCCAGAGGCCCUACAGGGGAGCUAUAUUUGCAGGUCUUCAUGUCAGAAAGUUGUGACAGAAUCAAAUUCUGGAAUGCGCUUGUGGAUAGUUGCCUCCAGAUAAGGGAUUUGAUUGACUGGGAACGCAGUUAUCCUGAUGAUGUCCAUGAUCUGACUGUAGCCUAUGGAAUUGAUGUAGCAUGGGAGUACUUUCUAUGUAAACUACAUUCAGCUGUCUCUGAAACUGGCAAGAAAAUCCUUCCCGAACACUUGGUACUUGCAGCAGAUAGUCUCACAACUACAGGAGAAUUUGUUCCCUUGAGUGCCAAAGGGCUGACACUGCAAAGAAAGGCUGCUGGUGUUGUUUCACCAUUUAUGCAAGCGUGCUUUACGAAUCCAGGGGACUCGUUUGUUAGGGCUGCCAAGAUGGGAUUAAG